rfam:Acyrthosiphon pisum strain LSR1 Contig24623, whole genome shotgun sequence.
UAUUAGUGAUGAGUAUUUAUUAAGUCAGUUCUGCUACUGAAAGUAAUUGAAGAAAAUAACUUUCUGAAAU